rnacentral:rRNA from 1 species
GGCUUAGAGUUUGAUCCUGGCUCAGAACGAACGCUGGCGGCAGGCCUAACACAUGCAAGUCGAACGCCGUAGCAAUACGGAGUGGCAGACGGGUGAGUAACACGUGGGAACGUGCCCAAAGGUACGGAACAACUCCGGGAAACUGGAGCUAAUACCGUAUGUGCCCGAGAGGGGAAAGAUUCAUCGCCUUUGGAUCGGCCCGCGUCUGAUUAGCUUGUUGGUGAGGUAACGGCUCACCAAGGCGACGAUCAGUAGCUGGUCUGAGAGGAUGGCCAGCCACACUGGGACUGAGACACGGCCCAGACUCCUACGGGAGGCAGCAGUGGGGAAUAUUGGACAAUGGGCGCAAGCCUGAUCCAGCCAUGCCGCGUGAGUGAUGAAGGCCCUAGGGUUGUAAAGCUCUUUCGCCAGGGACGAUAAUGAAGG